ensembl:piRNA 21ur-14943 ncRNA
UCUUCUUGCGUGUCAUGUAAA